rnacentral:rRNA from 1 species
GGGUUGUGAGGUUAAGCGACUAAGCGUACACGGUGGAUGCCCUGGCAGUCAGAGGCGAUGAAGGGCGUGCUAAUCUGCGAUAAGCGCCGGUAAGGUGAUAUGAACCGUUAUAACCGGCGAUACCCGAAUGGGGAAACCCAGUGUGAUUCGUCACACUAUCAUUAACUGAAUCCAUAGGUUAAUGAGGCGAACCGGGGGAACUGAAACAUCUAAGUACCCCGAGGAAAAGAAAUCAACCGAGAUUCCCCCAGUAGCGGCGAGCGAACGGGGAGGAGCCCAGAGCCUGAAUCAGCAUGUGUGUUAGUGGAAGCGUCUGGAAAGGCGCGCGAUACAGGGUGACAGCCCCGUACACAAAAGCGCAUGUGCUGUGAGCUCGAUGAGUAGGGCGGGACACGUGGUAUCCUGUCUGAAUAUGGGGGGACCAUCCUCCAAGGCUAAAUACUCCUGACUGACCGAUAGUGAACCAGUACCGUGAGGGAAAGGCGAAAAGAACCCCGGCGAGGGGAGUGAAAAAGAACCUGAAACCGUGUACGUACAAGCAGUGGGAGCACAGGUUUACCUGUGUGACUGCGUACCUUUUGUAUAAUGGGUCAGCGACUUAUAUUCUGUAGCAAGGUUAACCGAAUAGGGGAGCCGGAGGGAAACCGAGUCUUAACCGGGCGUUAAGUUGCAGGGUAUAGACCCGAAACCCGGUGAUCUAGCCAUGGGCAGGUUGAAGGUUGGGUAACACUAACUGGAGGACCGAACCGACUAAUGUUGAAAAAUUAGCGGAUGACCUGUGGCUGGGGGUGAAAGGCCAAUCAAACCGGGAGAUAGCUGGUUCUCCCCGAAAGCUAUUUAGGUAGCGCCUCGUGAAUUCAUCUCCGGGGGUAGAGCACUGUUUCGGCUAGGGGGCCAUCCCGGCUUACCAACCCGAUGCAAACUGCGAAUACCGGAGAAUGUUAUCACGGGAGACACACGGCGGGUGCUAACGUCCGUCGUGAAGAGGGAAACAACCCAGACCGCCAGCUAAGGUCCCAAAGUCAUGGUUAAGUGGGAAACGAUGUGGGAAGGCCCAGACAGCCAGGAUGUUGGCUUAGAAGCAGCCAUCAUUUAAAGAAAGCGUAAUAGCUCACUGGUCGAGUCGGCCUGCGCGGAAGAUGUAACGGGGCUAAACCAUGCACCGAAGCUGCGGCAGCGACACUCAGGUGUUGUUGGGUAGGGGAGCGUUCUGUAAGCCUGUGAAGGUGUGUCGUGAGGCAUGCUGGAGGUAUCAGAAGUGCGAAUGCUGACAUAAGUAACGAUAAAGCGGGUGAAAAGCCCGCUCGCCGGAAGACCAA